rnacentral:rRNA from 1 species
ACAUGUCUUUUUGGUUAAAUAAUUUAAAGUCAAAUCUGCCCACUGAUNAAAUUAUUAAAGGGCUGCAGUAUAUUGACUGUACAAAGGUAGCAUAAUCAUUAGUCUUUUAAUUGAAGACUUGUAUGAAGGAUUUGAUGAAAUAUAAACUGUCUCUAAUAUACUUAUAAAAUUUAAUUUUUUAGUUAAAAAGCUAAAAUUUGUUUAAAAGACGAGAAGACCCUAUAGAGUUUUAUAAUUAUUUAUUAAUUAUUUAUUUAUAAAUAUAAAGAAAAAUUAAUAAAUAAUUAUUUUAUUGGGGUGAUAGAAAAAUUAAAUGAACUUUUUUUUNUAUUUUAACAAAUAUAAUUGAAUAAUUGAUCCAUAAAUUAUGAUUAAAAGAAAAAAUUACCUUAGGGAUAACAGCGUAAUUUUUUUUUUUAGUACAAAUAAAAAAAAAAGUUUGCGACCUCGAUGUUGGAUUAAGAUAAAAUUUAAAUGCAAAAGUUUAAAAUUUUGAUCUGUUCGAUCAUUAAAAUCUUACAUGAUCUGAGUUCAAACCGGUGUAAGCCAGGUUGGUUUCUAUCUUUAAAAAAUUAUAAUAUUUUA